rnacentral:rRNA from 1 species
GUAGUUAGCCGUGGCUUCCUCCUUAGGUACCGUCAUUAUCGUCCCUAAAGACAGAGCUUUACAAUCCGAAGACCGUCAUCACUCACGCGGCGUUGCUGGGUCAGGCUUGCGCCCAUUGCCCAAUAUUCCCCACUGCUGCCUCCCGUAGGAGUCUGGACCGUGUCUCAGUUCCAGUGUGGCCGAUCAGCCUCUCAGCUCGGCUACCCAUCGUUGGCUAGGUGGGCCGUUACCCCGCCUACUACCUAAUGGGACGCGAACCCCUCCUUCUGCGGAUUGCUCCUUUGACCCCUGAGCCAUGCGACUCUGUGGUCUUAUGCGGUAUUAGCACUUGUUUCCAGGUGUUAUCCCCCUCAAAAGGGCAGGUUGUUCACGCGUUACUCACCCGUUCGCCACUAGCUAUAAAUCCGAAAACCUAUAGCCCGUUCGACUUGCAUGUGUUAGGCACGCCGCCAGCGUUCGUCCUGAGCCAGAAUCGAACCCUGA